rnacentral:tRNA from 1 species
GGCCACAUAGCUCAACCGGUUGGAGUGUGGUGCUGAUAACACCAAAGUCGUGGGUUCGAUCCCCGUUCAAUCCC